rnacentral:rRNA from 1 species
CGGCCGCGUCGACGCCUGAACCAGCCAAGUAGCGUGAAGGAUGAAGGUUCUAUGGAUUGUAAACUUCUUUUAUAAGGGAAUAACGGACACUACGUGUAGUGUUUUGCAUGUACCUUAUGAAUAAGCAUCGGCUAACUCCGUGCCAGCAGCCGCGGUAAUACGGAGGAUGCGGGCGUUAUCCGGAUUUAUUGGGUUUAAAGGGAGCGUAGGCGGGAGAUUAAGUCAGCUGUGAAAGUUCGGGGCUCAACCUUGGAAUUGCAGUUGAAACUGGUUUUCUUGAGUGCGGCAGAGGCAGGCGGAAUUCGUGGUGUAGCGGUGAAAUGCUUAGAUAUCACGAAGAACCCCGAUUGCGAAGGCAGCUUGCUGGAGCGUAACUGACGCUGAUGCUCGAAAGUGUGGGUAUCAAACAGGAUUAGAUACCCUGGUAGUCCACACGGUAAACGAUGGUCGACGCGGCCGAGCGAAAGCAUUAAGUAUCCCACUGGGGAGUACGCCGGCAACGGUGAAACUCAAAGGAAUUCGACGGGGCCCGCACAGCGGAGGACAUUGG